UGCAGAGUGGUUUGUCCGGCUCGGGGCCUGCUGGGAGCGGGGGGUGGAGUCUCUCUCUCUCUCAGGCGGGAUGGGUCUGGAGGUGCCGGAUGGUUGCUACUCGGCCGCCGGGCCGGUCGGUUUGGGAACAGCAGCGGCCUCCUGAUGUAGGCAGACAAGGCCCAUUGAUGCACUUUGCCUAGGUGACAAAUACCACUUUACGAGAAAUUGAUAUGACCGUUCCUGAAUGUGGAGAAAAUGAGUCUGAAUGAAUAGAAGACUACAGUUUCUGUACAUACGGCCUUGUAUACUAUGUAAACAUUUCUACAGAACCAGCUCAAGUUCGGCAGCAUUUCUUUCACCAGAAGAAUGUUCUGGAAGAAAUAUACAGGCUUAGCCUCAAUCCUGCACCGGGAUCUGCUACUCUAGAGCCCCUCAGGGUCAUGUUGGAGUCAAUGGAAUUCCUCAAGAGCACAAGGACCAAGCACUGGAUCCUUAUGCAGGACUGGGGCUUAAAUAUUAAAAAUAGAACUGGUUGAAUUAUUUAGUGUUCCUUUCAAAAAUGCUAUGAUGUUUCUUUGUACAGUGACUCCAAGAAAACAGUGAAUUGUUACAGUAGUGGCAAUAAUCAGAUAUAAAUGAUCCAUCAACAUUUAGCAGAAUGGGAUGGAUAUUUGCUUACUUCAAAGGCAGGUGAAGUGUAGGCUUAAGGAUGUGACAACUCUGAUUCACUUACUUAUACCAGCAUUGUGGGAGAAUAUUUGCAUUUGAUCACACACCAAAACUACUUUCCUUUUCUCUCCAUUGGCCCAGGCCAGGAUACUUCUGCCUCCCCUCCCUGUUGCAGACACCCAUUACAUGCUUGUUCCUGCUUGCCUGACCCCUUCCCUCACCCCUAUCUGUUGUCCCUUGCCAUUGUUUGGAUUCAUAGUCUAUAUUCAGCAAAUACCAAGACUAAGUUAUUUGCUAUUUGGCCAAUUAUUAAAAACAUGCAUUCGUUAGGCAUAAAUGACCUGGCAGUGCUUGUUUAACUGAUGUGGGACACCCCAAUGCUGCUAAUUCCUUCCAGGACAACAGAUUCAAACCAAACACUCUUAGAUCAGAGUGUAAACAAGUCAACAUACUAAAUUCCUGAGUAUGCAAAAAAUAAAUCUGAAAUUCUCUUUAUUCCUUAAGGACUCAAUCCUGCAAGGUUAAUAUUUACCCUGUGAAGAAUUCAUACUUAUUGUUGAACUGUUCUUAAUUCUUAUUAAGAAAAAAUCAAUCUUCUUAAACAUUGUUUAGCCAGAUGAGAUGUUAAAAAAAAAACAAAACCCACUGUGACGCUGGCAGGCCAGGUGCCAGCUCAUGCCAAGGUCCCCAUGUCUCAACAGACACAUAGCUGGAAUCUGUUUGGCAUUUAGUGUGUGGAGCUGUGAAUGCUUGUAAAUUGCUGCAUGCAUUAAUCUCACUUGUAAUAUCUGUAUUCCAUAUUAUAAUGGAGUGGAUGUACUGUGAGCCUCGGUGAUCAUAUGAAUCGCCAUACAGGAAAGAGACAUUAAUUAGUGUGAAGCAUAGGUGCCAACUUCUCCUGGCGCCAGUGGGUGCUCACACACCACCCCCCGACUC